GCAGCGCCGAGCCCUCUCGGCCCCCGGCCCGGCCGCUCCCGCGCGCGCGCCCGCCCGCCUGUCAAUCACACCGCAGACCACCACCCCCACGCGCGAGCAACACGGCGCGCGGGGUCCACGGGAGCCGGCUCGGGCCAGGCCGCGCCGCCGCAGCGUGCCCUCUGCCCGGGGCCGGGAAUGGCGGCGGCCGGCUGCCCGGGGCCAGUUCCGACCUGGCCCCCUCGCCUUUAGACCCCGCCAGCCCCUGUAGCAGCGGCUGAAGAGAAAAGGAAGUUACCUCCAAGCGGUCCCGGCGGCGGCGGCGGCCAGUCGCGGGAGGCCGAGAGGUCCGGCGCGGCGGCGGCGGCGGCUACCGCAGUGCCCUCCGCCCCAUUGUUUCCCUUCCAGGAGGCUCCCGGCAAAGCCGAGCCCGGGAACCAGGAAGUUCCCCGGCGCGACACCUCCAGCCGCCGCCGCUAUGGAAACGGCCCCCGCCUUCCCCAGGGCGGCUCGCCCGGGACCCCGCCUCCGCGCCGCCGGCCCCGCCCGCCUCACCGGCCGCCAACAGUCGCCGCUGCGGCCGCGGCCGCCGCCAUCUUGGCGCGGGCGGACAGCCCCUGCCUUCCCGGCGGCACGUGCGCUGUUCCCGCGCUCCCGCCGGGCGCGCGCCCGAUGGGCUGCGGGCGGAGGCCGACGACUCGAGCCCCUCUGCAGGAAGAGGGGGUCCGCCGACCCGGCGGCGCCCAGCGAUCGCCCCAGAGCUACUCACGGGCUGGGACCAGUGCUGUGUCUGACACCUGAGGGCAGCGGGCAGAGCACGGCGCCUUUCGCGGAUGAGGCCCGUCCGCUCGCCAGCCUUCAGACGUUGCCUACUGCACUUGGGUUUUUCUUGGACUCGAUUAAAAGAGAAAGUAUUGAUGGCAGACCAGAAGAAGGAUCACAAACAGUAGAAUUCCACAGAUGUUACAAACAGUUUGUUUCAACAAUCUGAGGUGAUCUUACUUAUUGCUGUUUUAGGGGACUUGGGAAGUGCCCCCUAUGUUAGAAACAUACAAGCCAUGAGAUUGGGGACUUGUCUGUCUUCCAUCCUGUUCUGUUCUUUGGUCCAGUUUGCUCUCUGGCCAGAGUAAGCUUCCUCUGAAUAAAUAUAGAAAGAAUGAGGAGGAGAGAAAGGGA
rnacentral:lncRNA from 1 species